AAAAAAACACACAGUUUCUCUCUUCCCUCCCCCAAUUCAUCGUCUCUCUCUUAUUGUUCUCUCAUUCCCUGCCGUUGCGAUUUCAAUCAUUAAACUCUUGAUUGGAUCAUCAACAUCAGCGAUUGGAGCCCGUGUUUUACCUCCUUCUCAAUGGACAUCAUCCUGUAAGGAUAAGAAAUAGUUAUCUGAGUACGUAGAUGAACGAACCUUCAAAGGUAACCUAAUGGAUUAAUUUUACCAUUUAUGAGAUUAGUUCACUGCAAGUGGGUCUAAUUUUGAACACGUACAACCCAUUCCUCUCUUGAAUUCUUAAGUUUAAGUUAAGGAUUUAAUAAUAGGGAUUCUUGAUUGAAAAGUGUUAAUUUUUUUUUUUAACAGUUGUUAAAUCUGUAGCAUUUAGUUAAUAAUGUAGUUAAUAUUGAUCAUUUCUUUUUAAUGGGAAUGGUGAACCGAAGUAGUUUGAUUUUUAGUUUAAAUGGAAAUUGCUUGCAUAUUGUCGAACUAUUUGAUUAAUUAUUUGAUUUAUUACCUAAGUAUUAUCUUCAAACUGAUUUUGAUAAUACGAACUGGGGAGUAAAGUUUUUUUGUUUAAAUAUUGUCUUUGUUGAGUGGCAUGGAAUUAUUGCCUUGUUUUCAAAAGGAUUUGUGCCUUAUGAUUAGUCUUUUGAACAUUUUGAAGGAAAACAUUCAAUUUUAGAGUGGAUAAUAGCUACUCUAUUAGGGGAAUACAAAUUGUUCCCAAAGAAUCCUGUAAGGCAGCUUCAAAUCGCCUCAUUUCAUUUUGGUAAGCUCUUAUUAUAUAUUUUGUAAAAGUUUAAUUCAAUUAGUUUUACUACUUUGUAUCAAUGGUUUUUCAUUUUAUUUUAUUUUAUUUAUUUUUGGUUAUAAGAUGAGGUCUGGUCCAUAUGUAUAAUUAGUAUGUCCGAAGCAUUUGGAGAUUAUAAGAUUAUGAUCUGGUGUGGUCAUCUGCAAUCUCUUCGAGCUCUAUCAAGGUAAAAAUGUGAAGAUUUGAUGCAAUGACAGAAUUUGAGGUUUCAUAUGCAAACAAAAGUAAUAAAAUGCCAUUUUGAAGAAAUUACUAGUCUUACUACAAUUCCAGACGUACACAAUUUAUAUAAUUUUUCAGCUAUUAAAUUGCCAAUAUUUGUAUUUACUUUGAAAGUGCAUAAAGGUUAAAAAAAAAAAAUGUCAUCAGGUAAAAAUAUGGUAAAUUUGUUAUAUAAUUUCUUAUGUAUAAGGUACUGAUGUUGAGUUUCUUCAAGAGUAUUAUGCCUAAUUUCAUUCAUUUUAGAAGAUAAGCUUCUAAUUUAUAGAGUACUAAUUUAUACCCGAAUUGAUUCUCUAAUCAUCCGUUGUUCAUGUCCCUACUCGUACAUAUGGCAUUGGACCAUAGUUGGACGAUGCUUCGGUCAGAUGAUGGAUUUUUUUCAAACAAAUUUAUUGAAGGUGUUGAAGAGUCCAUUAAAUAUUCCAAGUCUCAAACAGGAGUUGGAGAUAUGAUUAAAUGCCCAAGUUCUAUAUGUAACAAUAGAAGGUUUCUAAAAAGGAGAUGAUGUAAAAUUUUAUAUUUAUAAAAAUGGAUAUGCAAGGGGCUAUAUGCAAUGGAACGCACAUGGAGAACCAUUUACUUUCAAUUGUCCAGAUUUAGCUGAAUCCUCAACUAUACGAGCUACAACAAACUAUAUCCAUGAAGCAAUGGUCAUAGAUGCGAUUGGUCUUGAAUUGUACAAUGAUUAUAUUAGUCCAAAUGUUUGGGAACAUGAGGAACAAUUCCCAAAUCAACAUGCAACAAAUUUCUUUAGACUAUUACAAGAAGCUGACAAACCUAUUUGGCCUGGUUGUAGGAAGCAUAUCAACCUUUCUAUAAUGGCACAACUCAUGAAUUUGAAGUCUGAAUUUAACAUGUGUACAGUGUGCUAUGAUUGUAUGUUGUCUAUCAUUAAGGGAAUUAUGCCAAAAAGGUGACUACUUAGAAGAUACGUGCUAUAAAACAAAGAAAAUGUUAUCUCAUCUUGAUCCCUGGUGUUGUGAAAAUCCAUGUUUGUGUUAAUGAUUGCAUGUUGUACUAUAGAGAAACUGCGAGCAUGACUCAUUGCAAUGCGUUUUUAGCCCACGAUACAAUGAGAAGUUGUCUCGAUCUGGACAUAGGGUACCUCAAAAGGUAUUGAGAUAUUUACCACUUAUGGAGAUCCGCACUGCAACCGAACCCAUGUCAAAUAUUAGCAGAAUCUCCUAAUUAAACAUGCUAGUACUCACUCUCUACGUGUUUAAAUUGGACCCCUUGUAUCUGUUUGAUAAUAAUGAAUUUUAUUAUGUUCCCUUGCAAUCUGUGUUGAGUGCUGCCUUGAAUUCAUGCUGG
rnacentral:lncRNA from 1 species